GUUAAUAAUUUAGUGAGGCUAUCACGUAUUAAGAACACCAAUUUUUCUGUACAAAAGAUGCUGGGGGAAAUGCAAAAGAAAAAGUGAAUUUGAGGCAAUGUUUGAUGAGCUUUCAGAAAGUUAUAGCACAAUCUUGGAAUCUGGCCACUCGGGUGUUGUUUUAGCUGUGGGUCAAGGGUGUAAACGUCUUCUGACAAAGUAAAGAAGUUUUGUACAGAAUAUAAUGAAAGUGUAGGAAUGUUACGAACCAGAGUCACGUCAGAUGAGUAUUGUAAUGUGUUGUGCAAGAAUUUGAAAUAUGACGAUUUGAACGAUCGUAAAGGUGAAGAUCUUCAAAGUGCAAAAUUAAAUUUACAUGACACACUCAUGGUUCAAUUCAUGCUCGAAUUUAAUAAGCCAAUUAAAAUUAUCAACAGCAUUCUGGAUAUUCACUCGAUUGACUGGAGGAAGCUGUUUUGCAAUCGUAUGGGAAGCCAUAUUGCCGACAUUUAUGUGAAAAGUCAAUAUUUGGGCGAAAAAAGUCGCGAUAAAUUGUUUAAAAAGUUACAGGGCACUUUUCAAAAGUUAGCUGCAGAUAAAUAUGCAUCUCGUAGUUUUGAGGCAAUGUGGGCGAAAAACGUCGCGAAAAAUUGUUUAAAAAGUUACAGGCUUAUCUUCAUGCUUGUAUAUACUAGCUAGAAUUAUUACUUUGAUAAAAGAAGUUUUAUGGGCACUUUUCAAGGAUUUACAAAUUUUUCUGUGCAUUUACGGAUCUUUCUGAAAAUGUAGAGAUCCUUCUGGGAAUCUCCUAGGUCUCUGUGAAAAAUUUCCGAUAAUGUACCUAUAAUUAAAUCUCGGCGCCUGAUUUCCAGCGACUACUGCUAUUGGCUUGCGGUAUCGAUUUGUCACGGCAAUGUACUUAUAGGAGGAUUGGUUCCAAUGCAUUGAUCCAUUUUGCGUGUUCAUUAGGUACCAGUAGGCCAGUAUUAUUGUUAUAUGGUACAGGAGGACGGGGUCGUUCCCAAUUUUAUUGUAAUUAUCGUUUAUGGAUGUUAGAUGCCAUAUACGUAUUUCUCUCCAACGAUUAGAAAGGGUUGCAAGCCAGAAGAUUUGGUAAGCGCAUGUACACUGAUGGAAAAUCAUUUACGCCAAUACGAUCGGGUCAGGUGGCAAUUAAAAAGUGAACAUCAUGAAAACUACAAGAAAUUACUUCUCAAAGAACUAUUGGUGGCAUAAAACAAUUGGUACACAGUUUUUUCAUGUUUCACUCCUAAGCAUAUGGGACGUUACGUAACACUAUAGCUUUAAUAUAAUGAGUAAUUGUAGUUAAAAAAUGACCUAUGCAAAGCGCUAAACGUCUCUGAAAAGCUAUUAUGUAAACCUUUGAUAUUUUGGGGUUUCUAUCAGAGGUAAUUAAGUAAUUUGAGGCGUUCUUUGGUAAGGCUUUUAUAGGGCCUGUUCCGGAGCUUUUCAGGAAGAUAUUACAACUUUUUAGUUCCAAUGCUUUACAAAGCUUCUUCCACAAUUCUUUA